rnacentral:piRNA from 1 species
UCGGAUAUGAGGGCAAGAGCUGAGUGAG